AAUUACGGGCGACAUCGGGGAUGGGAAUGGUGUUCGGAGGAGUAGCUAUUCUUCUUACAUUGAUAUGGGGCCUUACCGUCGUUCUCGGAAGCUACGAUCCGUCCGAGGACGAUGAAACCGAUACUUCUGAGGCACAGAAAGCAGUAACUGCGAAUGGUGCUCAAGGAUUUUUCUUUCUUAUUAAUUAGCCUCUAAACCUUAAAAACAUCACAAUUUUGAUCUAACCUGCGGCAGUUGUUUCUCAUGUAGCAGGUUCGAACAUCGUUACAGAUGUCGAAACGAGCUGGACUGCUAGACUGGUCUUGGUAGCUUCAGUGCCGUAUCUCAUCCUUGAGCUUCAAAAUGCUGUCACCUCGUCGUCUGGGAAAAGAGUCCUCAUUCUUAUUGCUCUCAUCGUCACAGUUGCUUUGCUCUGUGGUUACAUUUUGUAUCAGGUAAUAAUAAGAUUUCCACGGCAUCACCUGUUCAAGUUCAAAUCAUAUACAUAUGUUAUGCAUGCUUCAAUCAAUAGUGUUAUGAGAUGCCAAAUGAAUAUAAGUCGCAUAGAAUCUAGUUAAAAAGAGGCAAAGCCUAAAACAUAAGGUAAAACUUGUGUACAUCCGGAUGUAAGGCACAUCCAAUCCAAUAAGGGCUCACCAAUCCCCAAUUAGCGUUAUUAUCCUAGUUAGGAUUUAUUAAUCACAAUUAGGAUUUAAUUAGAGUGCAUGUACUGGAGUUUGUCUCAACACAUAAUGACAUUUCAACUCUAGACUUUGUUAACUCAAGGUUUGUUCUAAAAGGGGCGUACCGCAGAUGGGCAUUUUUAACGCUCAUUAGGUAGAGCUCGUUUCUAAGAGGUAGAUUGUGGGGAGAGGGUGCUAAAGAGGUUACAUGCCACAAGCUAAAUCUCAUACAUACCAGCAAUGACAGACUAAAAUAGGAACAUAAACAUUGUAAACCUAGAUUAUGUUAUUAUGUUUCUUUCACAAUCUCUUUUUUCUUUUUUGUAUUACUUUUCGUGCAGUCAUUCCAGCCGUGGAUACAGAGCAGAUGUUUUGAGUUUAUGGUAGAUAAAUAUGCGAAGGAUAAGCUACUGAAACUUAUAACAGCAAAUGGAAGGCCUAGUACUAAAAAGAUACAAGGGUCAGUCCAUAUAUAUAGGGAUGAGAUCUAGUGGGAAUCAAAUCAUUGGUGAGAACGAAGAACACAUGCACAAACACAUAAAAUUCAUGAACAAGAGAUGGCCAACAUGAACAAAUAAAUGUAACACAUAAAUGAACUAAUGUGAUUGUGCAUGUGUUACAUUUAUUUGUUCAAUCUGGUAGUUCAUGUUUAUAGAUUUUAUGUGCUUGUGCAUGUAUUUUCAAUUCUCAUGUAAAAAUGUCAUUCUCACCUGAUCCAUUCUCUCUCUCUCUCUCUCUCUCUCUUAUACACACACACACACACAUAUAUAUAUAUUAGUAUUAUAUAUAUAUAUAUACACACACACACAAACACAUAUAUAUAUUAGUAUUUCCAUAAAUUUUCAUUUACUAUUGCUCAUGAUUGUUCCUAAUUUAUACUCACAUAUACUAAACAGGUUGUUCAACAAAAUUGAUAAAGACAAUAAUGCAUCUGUAACAGCAGCAGAAGUAAGAGUUUUGGUCUUAGGAGUACAGAUGGAUGAUAAUGACACGAGCACAAACCUAGCUUUGGAUGAAAUCACAACAUAUUUCGAUACCUCCGGUGAUGGAAGUAUCAGUCAGGACGAGUUCGUAAAGGGCAUGACCAAAUUGGCUUUCAACCUUUUAGAUCAGACUCCAACACAAAUAACAAAAGUCGGAAAUAACAGUUCGCAGGUAAGACCAUAUCAUCAAAAAAACAUAUCAAUGUAUCUAAAUCCAUAGCUAUAUAAAUAGAUUCAUGUAUUAUACGAAAAUCAAAAUACGCAGAUUACCAGUCCGGAUCAGGAGGCGCUUUUAGGUAGCAUCACGAGCACGAGCCAAACAAUCAGCAAUACUUGGUCGAUUUACUUCAGAGCGACUUUCUUCUUGGUAUUUGGAAUUGCUAUCGCAUGCACCCUUUCAUCACCUUUGAUAAAAUCA
rnacentral:lncRNA from 1 species